rnacentral:rRNA from 1 species
AUUGAACGCUGGCGGCAUGCCUUACACAUGCAAGUCGAACGGCAGCACGGGGCAACCUGGUGGCGAGUGGCGAACGGGUGAGUAAUGCAUCGGAACGUACCUUUCAGUGGGGGAUAACGUAGCGAAAGUUACGCUAAUACCGCAUAUUCUGUAAGCAGGAAAGCAGGGGAUCGCAAGACCUUGCGCUGAUUGAGCGGCCGAUGUCAGAUUAGCUAGUUGGUGAGGUAAAGGCUCACCAAGGCGACGAUCUGUAGCGGGUCUGAGAGGAUGAUCCGCCACACUGGAACCGAGACACGGUCCGGACGCCUACGGGAGGCAGCAGUGGGGAAUUUUGGACAAUGGGGGCAACCCUGAUCCAGCCAUGCCGCGUGAGUGAAGAAGGCCUUCGGGUUGUAAAGCUCUUUCGGCCGGGAAGAAAUCGCACGGGCUAAUACCCUGUGUGGAUGACGGUACCGGAAUAAGAAGCACCGGCUAACUACGUGCCAGCCGCCGCAGUAAUAC